CAAACGCACCUAAACUUGUGUGCAAAGCCAUAAAUACAUUUAAUUUGCAAUACAAAAAUUUCCUGUAUGAUAACACGACACUGCUGCCACCUAUAUUUUCUUUUUAGUCGAGCCUGUUAGUCGGCAGUUGCAACAGGCCUCGUUGUACUACAGGUGCUUCCCGCGAGCACAUGUGCUCCGCAGUGACAUAUUUACUGUGUUGAUAGAUAUUGUGUGCGUUUAUUGUGUGCUUAUCGUACUUGACAUUCGUCGACUGGAUAUUUUGCGCGUUUCGGAACGUCCUCCCGCAAGUGGGGGAUGAUGCAUCGUCGUUCGUCGCCACUCAGAACAGCCUCAUCGGACGCGCAGCUUUGUCUCCGCGCUCAAAAGUGCUUUCUUGCUUCGUUUAUCGAUUACUCACGUUAAUCGCGUGAUUCAAUAUCGAGUGUACCUCCAAAGACAAUCCACUUCCCAGUGUUGUGACAAGCGGCGACCGCGGUUGUACAGGAGCGGAAGCGUGAGCCUUUUGACGAGCGACUGUGAAGAAUGCAAAGCCAGUGCCAAACUUCGGAACCGAUAGCCCGGGCGGCGUGUUGGCACAGCGAGGAUGAGAACGAGAGACCCGAUAGACACCGAUGACAGCUGUUCACGGCACCGACACAGAGGACAGAUUGCAGUGCAAGAUAGGAGCGGUCUUCCUGCAAGCCCAGACAAGCCAUAUUGAGUGGUUUCAAAUACAGCAACUGUACCACCACGACAGUGCAGCACAAGAGACCCUAUCGUCAGUGCUGAGUCAGAAAUUAAAUAGAAAAGCGCUUUCUUCUGAAA